GAGAGAGCACGGGAUUACCUCAGUAACGGCGAGUGAAGCGGUAACAGCUCAAAUUUGAAAUCUGGGUCUUUCAGGCUCCGAGUUGUAAUUUGUAGAAGAUGCUUUGGGUGCGGCCCCGGUCUAAGUUCCUUGGAACAGGACGUCAUAGAGGGUGAGAAUCCCGUAUGUGAUCGGUGGCUUGCGCCCGUGUAAAGCUCUUUCGACGAGUCGGGUUGUUUGGGAAUGCAGCUCUAAAUGGGUGGUAAAUUUCAUCUAAAGCUAAAUAUUGGCCAGAGACCGAUAGCGCACAAGUAGAGUGAUCGAAAGAUGAAAAGCACUUUGGAAAGAGAGUUAAACAGUACGUGAAAUUGUUGAAAGGGAAGCGCUUGCAACCAGACUUGCGCGGGGUUGAUCAUCCGGGGUUCUCCCCGGUGCACUCGGCCUCGCUCAGGCCAGCAUCGGUUUCGGUGGUUGGAUAAAGGCCUUGGGAAUGUGACUCCUUUCGGGGAGUGUUAUAGCCCUCGGUGCAAUGCAGCCUACCGGGACCGAGGACCGCGCUUCGGCUAGGAUGCUGGCGUAAUGGUUGUAAGCGACCCGUCUUGAAACACGGACCAAGGAGUCUAACAUCUAUGCGAGUGUUUGGGUGUCAAACCCAUACGCGUAAUGAAAGUGAACGGAGGUGAGAACCCUUAAGGGUGCAUCAUCGACCGAUCCUGAUGUCUUCGGAUGGAUUUGAGUAAGAGCAUAGCUGUUGGGACCCGAAAGAUGGUGAACUAUGCCUGAAUAGGGUGAAGCCAGAGGAAACUCUGGUGGAGGCUCGCAGCGGUUCUGACGUGCAAAUCGAUCGUCAAAUUUGGGUAUAGGGGCGAAAGACUAAUCGAGCCAUCAGG
rnacentral:rRNA from 1 species